ensembl:snRNA U6 U6 spliceosomal RNA
GCUCGCUCCGGCAGCACACACACUAAAACUGGAACAAUACGGAGAUUAGCAUGGCCCCUGUGCAAGGAGGACCCACACAUUCAUGAAGCAUUCCAUAUUAAA